rnacentral:rRNA from 1 species
AUGCAGUCGACGGUAACAGGCCCUUCGGGGUGCUGACGAGUGGCGGACGGGUGAGUAACGCGUAGGAAUUUGCCCAGUAGUGGGGGACAACUUGGGGAAACCCAAGCUAAUACCGCAUACGCCCUACGGGGGAAAGCGGGCAUCUUCGGACCUCGCGCUAUUGGAUGAGCCUGCGUCGGAUUAGCUAGUUGGUAGGGUAAAGGCCUACCAAGGCGACGAUCCGUAGCUGGUUUGAGAGAACGAUCAGCCACACUGGGACUGAGACACGGCCCAGACUCCUACGGGAGGCAGCUGGGGAAUAUUGCACAAUGGGGGCAACCCUGAUGCAGCAAUGCCGCGUGUGUGAAGAAGGCCUGCGGGUUGUAAAGCACUUUCAAUUGGGAAGAAAAGGUUAGGGUCAAUACCCCUGAUUCUUGACGUUACCUUUAGAAGAAGCACCGGCUAACUCCGUGCCAGCAGCCGCGGUAAUACG